GUGCUUGCUUCGGCAGCACAAAUACUAAAAUUGGCAUGGCCCCUGCGCAAGGAUGACACGCAAAUUCGUGACACGUUCCAUAUUUGU
rnacentral:snRNA from 1 species